rnacentral:rRNA from 1 species
AACGUGGGUAACCUGCCCUGAUGAUCGGGACAACCCGAGGAAAACUCGGGCUAAUACCGAAUGUGCCCUCCGGCCCAUAAGGCCACUGGGGAAAGGAAGCUUCGGCCUCCGCAUCGGGAUGGGCCCGCGGCCCAUUAGCUUGUUGGUGAGGUAACGGCUCACCAAGGCAAUGAUGGGUAGCUGGUCUGAGAGGACGAUCAGCCACACUGGGACUGAGACACGGCCCAG